ensembl:lncRNA
CUCCACUGUGUCUGUCACACCAACUAACCAGACUAACACGACUCUUCCCUCUACCCACCCAGGUCCCUCAGUGACGGAUAUAGUUAUUUAUGUUUUAUUAUGCCUGACUGUGAGUCUGUGUGUCGCUGUGGGGACGUUCUGCAUCAGAAGGAAAAAGAGGAAUACACACACUCCAGUGAGUGAAAAGAAAGAGCCUGAUGAUUUGGUGUACGUCCAGGUGACCACUGGUAGCAACGGCAGAGGACGAAGAUCAGACAUUCAAGGUACAAGAGUGGAAACACAGGAUGUGGUGUAUUCUGGCGUUGCCAUGGCAAAUAGGAGAAGCAGGCAUAACAGCAGGAAGCCACCAGCAGCUGAGGCGUAUGAGUCGGAGUAUGCUGAGGUGUCUGCCUUCAGUAAGCGACGGGGCCCAACUGAGAGUCACAGGCCAGAGGAGUCGGUUGAGUACGGGGAA